UCUAUGAUUGGCAAACGGAGCCUGAAGCCUACCCGACACCCGGAGAGUGAGUGUGCUUCUGUCCUUUCUAUUUCUGAGCAGUUUUCCCAUGGCCUCCAGCCAGAGUGUCCACACCAGUAAUGUCUAGAGGAUUUAUGAGUCCAGCCAGCCUUUAGGUUCCUACACAGACCUAAACAGGAAAUCCACACAAGGAAAUGCCCUUUCUGUUUGCAGGCCAAAUUCCCAGGAUGCCUUCACCAGAGUGCCUGGCUGGAACAAAGCAAAGGCCUGGUACAACAAACGCCCUUAGAUCCAAAUGCAAGGGUGCCCUAUCUGCCCCUCGGCAGCCCCCUUCCCCAGUCCGGGAGGCACUCUGCUCAUUUAAGGAGAGCAAGAUUCUCUUUCCUCAGCCCUCGGUUGGUUGAACCUUGCUCUAGUUGCUGGUUGGGGUCAGUAAAGAGACACACAUAUCCCUCUGACCUCAGGGCAUUUCACCUGGACUUCUACAAAGUCCAUUAACCUGAGUCCGCCCUCUGGCUCCAUUAGCAGCGCGCACCGUUUGUUCGUAUCUUUCCUGUUCUUCCUUCACACUGCAUUUAGCACUGGGAGGAUGCCUGAAGAUCGGAGAAAAAGGCUGAUUGAGGUUGAAGUAUGUCUCAGCAGUAGACUCGGCUUGAUUGGCAUCUAGGACGCCCUCAGUUGUGUCCCGCACACCAUAGGAAAAAUAGAAGUGACACCCAGAUGCUGCUGCGUCCCUCUGGGCUACUACACUGUGACAGCCAUUCAACAAGCCUCUUCUGCCUGUCCUUCUCUCCUGAAUCCAGCCACUCCAGCCCCGGGGAGCAUUUUCAAAUCCUCCCAGGUCUCUGUGAAAGAUUCAACUUUACGAGACCGUGACUGAACUGGGCAGGAAGGAAGCUGGUGUCUCUGUCCCAGAAUAGGACCGUAUUGCUGGUGACCCUUUGACCUCCCCUCAAGGCAUCCCCAUGGCUGACCACCGAAAAUAGACUCCUUCCUCUCUGAUUCGCUCUCCCCUCCUCCCUCGGGAAAGAAGACACAAGCGUCCAAGGAGCCAGCAACAUCAUCAGGACUUGACUGUCUCAGGAAUUACCAGAUGUGGGGGAAAGGAUAACAUGUCAUUUCCUUUAGCAAAUAGUCUGAGUAUGUGUGCUUUUCCUCUUGAUCCGGCUCCCUCCGACGCUCUGAUGCAGUGAGAGUUAGGGACAAAUCCCCCUGGCUUCUUCCUACUCUCAAGGAUCCUGGC
rnacentral:lncRNA from 1 species